AUUGAACACUGGCGGCAUGCUUUACACAUGCAAGUCGAACGGUAACAGGCCUUCGGGUGCUGACGAGUGGCGAACGGGUGAGUAAUGCAUCGGAACGUACCCAGAGGUGGGGGAUAACGCAGCGAAAGCUGUGCUAAUACCGCAUGUGAUCUGAGGAUGAAAGCGGGGGACCGAGCAGCAAUGUUUGGCCUCGCGCCUUUGGAGCGGCCGAUGUCGGAUUAGCUAGUUGGUGGGGUAAAGGCCUACCAAGGCGACGAUCCGUAGCUGGUCUGAGAGGACGACCAGCCACACUGGGACUGAGACACGGCCCAGACUCCUACGGGAGGCAGCAGUGGGGAAUUUUGGACAAUGGGCGCAAGCCUGAUCCAGCAAUGCCGCGUGCGGGAAGAAGGCCUUCGGGUUGUAAACCGCUUUUGGCAGGAACGAAACGGUGUCCGCUAAUACCGGGCGCUAAUGACGGUACCUGCAGAAUAAGCACCGGCUAACUACGUG
rnacentral:rRNA from 1 species